rnacentral:rRNA from 1 species
UACGUAGGGUCCGAGCGUUGUCCGGAUUUAUUGGGCGUAAAGAGCUCGUAGGCGGUUUGUCGCGUCUGCUGUGAAAACCCGAGGCUCAACCUCGGGCCUGCAGUGGGUACGGGCAGACUAGAGUGCGGUAGGGGAGAUUGGAAUUUCUGGUGUAGCGGUGGAAUGCGCAGAUAUCAGGAGGAACACCAAUUGCGAAGGCAGCUCGCUGGGACGUUACUGACGCUGAGACGCGAAAGCGUGGGGAGCAAACAGG